GGGUCAGUAGGUUGGUCGUGCCACCGGUACGUACUGGUCUCACUGAUUCCUCCUUCCUGAAGAACCGUAAUGCCAUUAAUUUUGUGUUGCGGGGAAACAGGACUGUUACUUUGAAAAAAUUAGUGUGUUUAAAGCAAGCUAACGCUUGAAUACAUUAGCAUGGAAUAAUGAAAUAGGACGAUCGAUCCUAUUUUGUUGGUUUCUAGGAUUGACGUA
rnacentral:rRNA from 1 species